UAUCGGGUCCCGCGCGACGCGUUCCCGCCAACCCCGCCAGGUCCGGAAGGAAGCAACGGUAACGGGCUCUCGCGUGUGCAGCGGGUUCCCCGGUGCCU
rnacentral:SRP_RNA from 1 species